rnacentral:rRNA from 1 species
ACUUUACGUCCCUGCCCUUUGUACACACCGCCCGUCGCUACUACCGAUUGAUGGCUCAGUGAGGCGUCCGGACUGGCCCAGAGAGGCGGGCAACUGCCACUCAGGGCCGGAAAGCUCUCCAAACUCGGUCAUUUAGAGGAAGUAAAAGUCGUAACAAGGUCUCCGUUGGUGAACCAGCGGAGGGAUCAUUA